UAAUGGCAUCUUGUAAUUAUCUAAUUAUAUCACAUCUUUUCCAGAAGCCAGGCGCUCCUUUCGGCAAAGAUGAUGUCCUGCUGGUCACGAUGGACAAGUGGCAUGGAGGGCUCAAUUCAUCCAUUAAAGAAAAAGUUCACUUGAGGCAUGGCACAGUGGCUCACGCCUGUAAUCCCA